CGCACUUGUGCUUGUUUUUGUUUAGUUUGUGAACAAAGACUUAGACAAAGUGCAAAAAAUAAAUCCUCUUUUGCAACCCAGAGCUCAUGGCUCAGUAUGAGUUUUGAUACAGAUAAGAAGGAACAAG
ensembl:snoRNA